rnacentral:rRNA from 1 species
CUGGCUCAGGACGAACGCUGGCGGCGUGCCUAAUACAUGCAAGUCGAGCGAGCUUGCCUAGAUGAUUUUGGUGCUUGCACUAAAUGAAACUAGAUACAAGCGAGCGGCGGACGGGUGAGUAACACGUGGGUAACCUGCCCAAGAGACUGGGAUAACACCUGGAAACAGAUGCUAAUACCGGAUAACAACACUAGACGCAUGUCUAGAGUUUGAAAGAUGGUUCUGCUAUCACUCUUGGAUGGACCUGCGGUGCAUUAGCUAGUUGGUAAGGUAACGGCUUACCAAGGCAAUGAUGCAUAGCCGAGUUGAGAGACUGAUCGGCCACAUUGGGACUGAGACACGGCCCAAACUCCUACGGGAGGCAGCAGUAGGGAAUCUUCCACAAUGGACGAAAGUCUGAUGGAGCAACGCCGCGUGAGUGAAGAAGGGUUUCGGCUCGUAAAGCUCUGUUGGUAGUGAAGAAAGAUAGAGGUAGUAACUGGCCUUUAUUUGACGGUAAUUACUUAGAAAGUCACGGCUAACUACGUGCCAGCAGCCGCGGUAAUACGUAGAGUGGCAAGCGUUGUCCGGAUUUAUUGGGCGUAAAGCGAGUGCAGGCGGUUCAAUAAGUCUGAUGUGAAAGCCUUCGGCUCAACCGGAGAAUUGCAUCAGAAACUGUUGAACUUGAGUGCAGAAGAGGAGAGUGGAACUCCAUGUGUAGCGGUGGAAUGCGUAGAUAUAUGGAAGAACACCAGUGGCGAAGGCGGCUCUCUGGUCUGCAACUGACGCUGAGGCUCGAAAGCAUGGGUAGCGAACAGGAUUAGAUACCCUGGUAGUCCAUGCCGUAAACGAUGUUAACUAGUUGUUGGGAAGUAAAAUUCUCAGUAACGCAGCCAACGCGAGAAGUUAACCGCCUGGGAAGUACGGUCGCAAGACUAAAACUCAAAGGAAUUGACGGGGACCCGCACAAGCGGUGGAUGAUGUGGAUUAAUUCGAUGCAACGCGAAAAACCUUACCUACCCUUGACAUGUCAGGAAGCUCUUGUAAUGAGAGCGUGCCCGCAAGGGAGCCUGAACACAGGUGCUGUAUGGCUGUCGUCAGCUCGUGUCGUGAGAUGUUGGGUUAAGUCCCGCAACGAGCGCAACCCUUGUCACUAGUUGCUACGAAAGGGCACUCUAGUGAGACUGCCGGUGACAAACCGGAGGAAGGUGGGGAUGACGUCAAGUCCUCAUGGCCCUUAUGGGUAGGGCUUCACACGUCAUACAAUGGUCGGAACAGAGGGCAGCGAAGCCGUGAGGCGGAGCCCAUCCCAAA